AACGUUUACUCAAUCUCACAGAUUGUAAGUCCAAACGCGAAUAGUUUUUAACACAAAAACUUAUUAUUUACACGUCACACUUAAGCAAAGUCUAUAUAAUCUUGGAUAACGUUAGUUUUUGUCGUGAUUUCAACCUUGCUCUUGUAAAAAUAUAAUUGCAAAUAAGAAACUACACCGAGCAUAUCUAUUAGGCCAAUGAUUUCAUCAUUCGUUUAGUCAGUUAUUCUCGAUACUCUUUGCUUCCAGAAAAUCUUUUAUGUAAUCUAUUCCACACCAAGAACGAAGAGCAACGAGUCGACCUCUCUCAAUUUCAUCUUCUCCUUAUAUGUCAAAGCGAUAACCACACGCGAUUUAUACGUGACAGUCCUCCCUGCUUUUCCAUUUAUCCAGAUGAUCAGCCUCAGAUAACAAGUUCUAAUUCAGCAACCUUUUAUAUGAGCUCGAACGGAAUAACAGUUUUGAAAAAUAAGAGAGCCUUCUUUCAACGAGGAAAAAAGUGUGCUUAACGUAAAGUUCAGUAAUUUCAUUCCAGUACUAUUUUACAAUUCUAUGAAAAUCUUAUAAAGAUUUGGAAAUUCGAAGGAAACGAAAUAUUUCUUCUUUUUAUUUUCAUUCAUGAGAUUGAGUCUUUGAAUCUUCGAGGAUCUACAAAACUCGUUACGAUGUUUCUUCCACGAGCACAUUAUCCGUUGCACAAAAUCCCACUCGGUCCCACUCAGAGAGAUCUCCCCUCUCGAUAUCUGUAUUACAGAAGCCACACGAACGAGAUGAGAUAUCGAUCCGCGACAUUCACGUUUACGAUCGAGACGAGUCGAUUGCGCGGUCGACUCCGGUUUUACGAAGUGAAACGCACGCCGCGCGAUAAAUACGCGUGACGGUGCCUCUUGUUUGAAGACUGUUAACGACGGCAAAGUGAGGAGGGCUUCACUGAAAGAAGAUAGAAUUUUUUAUAAUACAGCAUUGGAUUCUCUUUUCCUUACCUCAUAUUAGUAUAAGAGGCGACGGCUGUUGCAAGAUCAGAUGCUGCGAGAGCGGAUAAC